AGAACGAACGCUGGCGGCAUGCCUAACACAUGCAAGUCGAACGAGACCUUCGGGUCUAGUGGCGCACGGGUGCGUAACGCGUGGGAAUCUGCCCUUGGGUUCGGGAUAACAGUUGGAAACGACUGCUAAUACCGGAUGAUGACUUCGGUCCAAAGAUUUAUCGCCCAGGGAUGAGCCCGCGUAGGAUUAGCUAGUUGGUGAGGUAAAGGCUCACCAAGGCGACGAUCCUUAGCUGGUCUGAGAGGAUGAUCUGCCACACUGGGACUGAGACACGGCCCAGACUCCUACGGGAGGCAGCAGUGGGGAAUAUGGACAAUGGGCGAAAGCCUGAUCCAGCAAUGCCGCGUGAGUGAUGAAGGCCUUAGGUUGUAAAGCGUCUUUUACCCGGGGAUGAAUAAUGACAGUACCGGAGAAUAAGCCCCGAUACUCCGUGCCAGCAGCCG
rnacentral:rRNA from 1 species